UACGGGGGGGGUAAGCGUUGUCCGGAAUUAUUGGGCGUAAAGAGCGUGUAGGCGGCCAGGUAGGUCUGGUGUGAAAACUCGAGGCUUAACCUCGAGAUGUCAUCGGAAACCAUCUGGCUAGAGGAUGGUAGAGGCGAGUGGAAUUCCCGGUGUAGCGGUGAAAUGCGCAGAUAUCGGGAGGAACACCAGUAGCGAAGGCGGCUCGCUGGGCCAUUCCUGACGCUGAGACGCGAAAGCUAGGGGAGCGAACAGG
rnacentral:rRNA from 1 species